GGAUGAGAAGUGAAAUAUUUUCAAGAAAACAACGACAAAGUCCAGUUGCCUUUUGAAAAGCACCUUUGGGUUUGGUUUAAUCCCCUAUCAUAAAUGUACAUGUGUUGGAGGUACAGCAGAAACUGAGGAUAUAAUAUAUAUUGUAUAUUAUUUGAAUGUUUGUUGUCUCCAUAUCUCAGAACAUAUUUUAAAAGCGCAGUCAGAAUAUUACAAUAAAAUGGUCCCCUUUUUGAAUAAAACAGUGCAACUGAGAGCCACAUAUGUCAAUAUAACUGAGGUAAACUAUAAAGUGAUAAGAACAUAUGAAUCAAGUUUUUCUUUUUGUUUUGUUAUCAAUAGUCUUAUUCAAUUUUUCUGUACAGGUAAUCUUCAAUUUAUGAAAGUAAUGGAGCCUGCCCAUUUUGGUUGUAAGGUGUGAGAACUUUAAUUGAAACUUGUUGAGUGAAAGAGCCCUCAUCCUGGAUCACCCCAAUGCAUACAUUAAACAAAUGUAGGGGUGAAUGCAGUGGUGGUUAAAUGUGCAUGAGGUGCCUCAGGGAUGCCUGCCUGGGGCCUCCCCCACCCCAAGAUAAGGGCGAUGCAGAGGGAGCUGCUUUGCCUUGUUUGAAACCUGACCUGGAAGGCAAAACUAUUCUCCCCCCCCCCUCUGCAUUGCCCUUUUAACACUGAACCCUUCAUUGUCCGUUUUCCAUGUCACUGCAUCAGCUCCUGUUUCUCCCCUUUCCUUUAAAAACAUUUUUUACCAGGAAAUUUAGAAACUUCAAAGCACAAACUGUGGCUCAUUAUCCUGUUUUGAGUUAAAGAGGCCAUACAGAAAGGCAGAAGGCUGGGAAAAUGCUGCUUUGCCGAGGUCAGUUUGAAAAUGGCUGCUCCACAUGGCCCAGUAAGAAUGGCACACAAUAUACUGAGUUCUGCAGAUCUCCGGAAGGUUUUUGAAGAAAGUGAAGAUGAUGUUGGAGACAGAUUAAGGGGAGCAAUCAGACUGCUUAUUAUUUCACUCAGUUGAGCACUCUGAAUGGUACAAGGAGAAAAUAUAUAUAUUCAAUUUAAUAUACUAUAAGUACUUAACUAAAAAAAUAUCAGUUGUGUCCAUAUUAUACCUAAAUUCUAUGCUUCAUAACUGAACCUUACCAAUAUCAAAUGAAGAGUUAAUUUGAAUUUUUAAAAUGCCUUGCAAAAUAAUAUAGACCAUAUCAAACUCAAAUCCUAAAGAGAUUUAUGAAAAUUUAGAAGACAUUGAUAUAUGCAAAAACCAAAACAAAUUACAAUUGUGGUGUCCAUGUUCCUUACUGAGAAAUAAUCCCUGAGAUCUUGAGGUGGCUCCAUUAUGGCUGUUAACGUAUGACUUAUUAAGGUUAUUUUCUGAUAUAAGCAUAUUUGAACAGUUGAACAGCUAAUCUUAAAUUGAAUACUACCUGUAAAGCACAAGGAAAAGCCAAGGAUUGUAAUUCUCUUUCUCUAUAAAUGUGAAAUAUUUCUCUUUUUGUGCUGAUAAGUAUUUUACCAAUAAAAGACCUUCAAUAUGGUA